CAGGAUAAGAAACAUUGAGAUAAGUAUAUUUUAUUUAAAUUAAAACUAUUUUUCAUUGAAAUAUAAACUAAUCUAUAAGUUUUGUUUUUGUAGCAGUUUGUUUUUCUUACAGUAGCAGGCCAGAGGAUAUUAGUCAGACCAUGAAGAUGGAUGGUUUCAUUGUAGAUGACAGAUAUGUAGCAUAUGUUACAAAGAAGAUGUUUACAUCACAGACCCUGAAAAAGACUCCAUUGAAGCACACCAGGAUAACCAACAUUGAGAUAAGUAUAUUUUAUUUAAAUUAAAACUAUUUUUCAUUGAAAUAUAAACUAAUCUAUAAGUUUUGUUUUUGUAGCAGUUUGUUUUUGUUACAGUAGCAGGCCAGAGGAUAUUAGUCAGACCAUGAAGAUGGAUGGUUUCAUUGUAGAUGACAGAUAUGUAGCAUAUGUUACGAAGAAGAUGUUUACAUCACAGACCCUGAAAAAGACUCCAUUGAAGCACACCAGGAUAAGCAACAUUGAGAUAAGUAUAUUUUAUUUAAAUUAAAACUAUUUUUCAUUGAAAUAUAAACUAAUCUAUAAGUUUUGUUUUUGUAGCAGUUUGUUUUUGUUACAGUAGCAGGCCAGAGGAUAUUAGUCAGACCAUGAAGAUGGAUGGUUUCAUUGUAGAUGACAGAUAUGUAGCAUAUGUUACGAAGAAGAUGUUUACAUCACAGACCCUGAAAAAGACUCCAUUGAAGCACACCAGGAUAACCAACAUUGAGAUAAGUAUAUUUUAUUUAAAUUAAAACUAUUUUUCAUUGAAAUAUAAACUAAUCUAUAAGUUUUGUUUUUGUAGCAGUUUGUUUUUCUUACAGUAGCAGGCCAGAGGAUAUUAGUCAGACCAUGAAGAUGGAUGGUUUCAUUGUAGAUGACAGAUAUGUAGCAUAUGUUACGAAGAAGAUGUUUACAUCACAGACCCUGAAAAAGACUCCAUUGAAGCACACCAGGAUAACCAACAUUGAGAUAAGUAUAUUUUAUUUAAAUUAAAACUAUUUUUCAUUGAAAUAUAAACUAAUCUAUAAGUUUUGUUUUUGUAGCAGUUUGUUUUUGUUACAGUAGCAGGCCAGAGGAUAUUAGUCAGACCAUGAAGAUGGAUGGUUUCAUUGUAGAUGACAGAUAUGUAGCAUAGUUAAGAUUGAAAAACCAAAUAAAUCAUCAAAGAUUUCAGCUGCAUGGAAGAUAUUUACUUAGAUCUUACCAAGUCGGAGGAUUUGCCAUGUAAGCAAGGAUAGCAGCUCCUUGGAAGAUGUUUACUUAGAUCUUCAACCAAGUCUGAGGACUGCCAUGAAAGCAACCAAGCAGAAAGGAUAGCCGCUCCAAGGAAGAUUAUAAGAUUGAUCUUCACCCCCAGAA